rnacentral:tRNA from 1 species
GCCACUGUAGUUCAAUGGAUAGAAUGCGGCCCUCCGAAGGCUGUGAUGUGGGUUCGAUUCCCGCCAGUGGUACCA